UUAAUUAUGUUCAAUUUGUAACAAUGAAAUUGGGGGUCACCACAACAUGAGGAACUGUAUUAAAGGGUUGCAUCAUUAGGAAGGUCGAGACCACUGUUCUAAGGGUCAGGAAGCACAGCU